rnacentral:rRNA from 1 species
GACGAACGCUGGCGGCGUGCUUAACACAUGCAAGUCGAACGGAAAGGCCCUGCUUUUGUGGGGUGCUCGAGUGGCGAACGGGUGAGUAACACGUGAGUAACCUGCCCCUGACUUUGGGAUAACUUCAGGAAACUGGGGCUAAUACCGGAUAGGAGCUCCUGCUGCAUGGUGGGGGUUGGAAAGUUUCGGCGGUUGGGGAUGGACUCGCGGCUUAUCAGCUUGUUGGUGGGGUAGUGGCUUACCAAGGCUUUGACGGGUAGCCGGCCUGAGAGGGUGACCGGCCACAUUGGGACUGAGAUACGGCCCAGACUCCUACGGGAGGCAGCAGUGGGGAAUAUUGCACAAUGGGCGGAAGCCUGAUGCAGCAACGCCGCGUGCGGGAUGACGGCCUUCGGGUUGUAAACCGCUUUCGCCUGUGACGAAGCGUGAGUGACGGUAAUGGGUAAAGAAGCACCGACUAACUACGUG